UACGAAGGGGGCUAGCGUUGUUCGGAAUUACUGGGCGUAAAGCGCACGUAGGCGGAUUGUUAAGUGAGGGGUGAAAUCCCAGGGCUCAACCCUGGAACUGCCUUUCAUACUGGCAAUCUCGAGUCCGAGAGAGGUGAGUGGAAUUCCGAGUGUAGAGGUGAAAAUUCGUAGAUAUUCGGAGGAACACCAGUGGCGAAGGCGGCUCACUGGCUCGGUACUGACGCUGAGGUGCGAAAGCGUGGGGAGCAAACAGG
rnacentral:rRNA from 1 species